rnacentral:rRNA from 1 species
UACGAAGGGGGCUAGCGUUGCUCGGAAUCACUGGGCGUAAAGCGCCCGUAGGCGGAUUGCUAAGUCAGGGGUGAAAGCCCGAGGCUCAACUCCGGAAUUGCCUUUAAGACUGCAUCGCUAGAAUUGUGGAGAGGUAAGUGGAAUUCCGAGUGUAGAGGUGAAAUUCGUAGAUAUUCGGAAGAACACCAGUGGCGAAGGCGACUUACUGGACACAUAUUGACGCUGAGGUGCGAAAGCGUGGGGAGCAAACAGG